rnacentral:rRNA from 1 species
UACGGAGGGUGCAAGCGUUGUCCGGAAUUACUGGGCGUAAAGAGCUCGUAGGUGGUUUGUCACGUCGUCUGUGAAAUUCCGGGGCUUAACCUCGGGCGUGCAGGCGAUACGGGCAAUACUUGAGUGCUGUAGGGGAGACUGGAAUUCCUGGUGUAGCGGUGAAAUGCGCAGAUAUCAGGAGGAACACCAAUGGCGAAGGCAGGUCUCUGGGCAGUUACUGACGCUGAGGAGCGAAAGCAUGGGUAGCGAACAGGAUUAGA